CUGAGCCGUGUGAGGGGAAACUCUCACGCACGGUUCUGAGGGGGGCUUGGGGCUGACAACAGCCCUCGGCUACCCGAC
rnacentral:ncRNA from 1 species